rnacentral:snRNA from 1 species
AUCCCUUCUCGGCCUUUUGGCUAAGAUCAAGUGUAGUAUCUGUUCUUAUCAGUUUAAUAUCUGAUACGUCCCCUACCCGGGGACCAUAUAUUAAAUUGAUUUUUGGAGCAGGGAGAUGGAAUAGGGGCUUGCUCCGUCCACUCCACGCAUCGACCCGGUAUUGUAGUACCUCCGGGAACGGUGCACCCCCC